AUUGAACGCUGGCGGCAUGCCUUACACAUGCAAGUCGAACGGCAGCACGGGGCAACCUGGUGGCGAGUGGCGAACGGGUGAGUAAUGCAUCGGAACGUACCUUUCAGUGGGGGAUAACGUAGCGAAAGUUACGCUAAUACCGCAUAUUCUGUGAGCAGGAAAGCAGGGGAUCGCAAGACCUUGCGCUGAUUGAGCGGCCGAUGUCAGGUUAGCUAGUUGGUGAGGUAAAGGCUCACCAAGGCGACGAUCUGUAGCGGGUCUGAGAGGAUGAUCCGCCACACUGGAACUGAGACACGGUCCAGACUCCUACGGGAGGCAGCAGUGGGGAAUUUGGGACAAUGGGGGCAACCCUGAUCCAGCCAUGCCGCGUGAGUGAAGAAGGCCUUCGGGUUGUAAAGCUCUUUCGGCCGGGAAGAAAUCGCACGGGCUAAUACCCUGUGUGGAUGACGGUACCGGAAUAAGAAGCACCGGCUAACUACGUGCCAGCCGCCGCGGUAAAAC
rnacentral:rRNA from 1 species